UCCGUUCCAUACAAGACUUUGCCAGCUCGGGAUCACAGCACACACGCUUGGAUGCAAUAAUGAAAUUCUAAUCAAUUUUUUUUUUUUACAGUGUUAUACAUGUGUACAGGGUUCUGCGUGUGCUGUGUUUAUUUCUGCGCGGACGCCAUGUGUGGCGGGCCAGUAUGCAAGAUAUGUAUAAAGUGAGUAAAUGUCACGAAUGGAGCACUACAGUACAUACCAAGAUGCUUCUGAAGGAUUUGCAGUGAAUAAACAACA